AGUGAACGCUGGCGGCGUGCCUAAUACAUGCAAGUCGAACGGAGUGGCGCACGGGUGAGUAAUAUAUAGCUAAUCUGCCCCUUGCUGGAGGACAACAGUUAGAAAUGACUGCUAAUACUCCAUAGAAAGGGAUGAGACUAUAUCGUAUCAGCUAGUCGGUGGGGUAACGGCCUACCGAGGCUAUGACGCGUAACUGGUCUGAGAGGAUGAUCAGUCACAUUGGAGCUGAGACACGGUCCAAACACCGACGGUAGGCAGCUGUAGGGAAUAUUGCACAAUGGGGGAAUCCCUGGCGUGUCAACGCCGCGUGGAGAAUGACACUUUUCGGAGCGUAAACUCCUUUUGUUAGGGAAGCGGUACCUAACGAAUGAGCACCGGCGAACUCCGUGCCAGCAGCCGCGGUAAUAC
rnacentral:rRNA from 1 species